rnacentral:rRNA from 1 species
AUUGAACGCUGGCGGCAUGCCUUACACAUGCAAGUCGAACGGCAGCACGGGAGCAAUCCUGGUGGCGAGUGGCGAACGGGUGAGUAAUAUAUCGGAACGUGCCCAGACGUGGGGGAUAACGCAGCGAAAGCUGUUCUAAUACCGCAUACGAUCUACGGAUGAAAGCGGGGGAUCGCAAGACCUCGCGCGAUUGGAGCGGCCGAUAUCAGAUUAGCUAGUUGGUGGGGUAAAAGCACACCAAGGCGACGAUCUGUAGCUGGUCUGAGAGGACGACCAGGCACAGUGGAACUGAGAAUCGGUGCAUACUCCGACGGGAGGCAGCAGUGGGGAAUUUUGGACAAUGGGCGCAGGCCUGAUCCAGCAAUGCCGCGUGCAGGAUGAAGGCCUUCGGGUUGUAAACUGCUUUUGUACGGAACGAAACGGCUCUUUCUAAUAAAGAGGUCUAAUGUCGGUACCGUAAGAAUAAGCACCGGCUAACUACGUGCCAGCCGCCGCGGUAA